rnacentral:rRNA from 1 species
UGGGGAAUAUUGCACAAUGGGCGCAAGCCUGAUGCAGCCAUGCCGCGUGUAUGAAGAAGGCCUUCGGGUUGUAAAGUACUUUCAGUCGUGAGGAAGGCAUUAAAGUUAAUAGCUUUAGUGUUUGACGUUAGCGACAGAAGAAGCACCGGCUAACUCCGUGCCAGCAGCCGCGGUAAUACGGAGGGUGCGAGCGUUAAUCGGAAUUACUGGGCGUAAAGCGCAUGCAGGUGGUUUGUUAAGUCAGAUGCGAAAAGCCCGGGGCUCAACCUCGGAACCGCAUUUGAAACUGGCAGGCUAGAGUACUGUAGAGGGGGUAGAAUUUCAGGUGUAGCGGUGAAAUGCGUAGAGAU